CCAAUAGCGUAUAUUAAAGUUGUUGCAGUUAAAAAGCUCGUAGUUGAAUUUCGGGGUUUAUCCGUCGGUCGGGCUUUUGGGUCUGUACUGGCGUGAUGGAUUCCUACCUUCUGAAUAACCGGCAUGUCAUUAAUUUGGUGCGCCGGGGAAGCAGGACUGUUACCUUGAAAAAAUUAGAGUGCUUAAAGCAGGCUAUUGCCUGAAUACAUUAGCAUGGAAUAAUGAAAUAGGACGGCAUGGUUCUAUUUUGUUGGUUUCUAGGAUCACCGUAAUGAUUAAUAGGGAUAGUUGGGGGCAUUAGUAUUCAAUUGUCAGAGGUGAAAUUCUUGGAUUUAUUGAAGACUAACUUCUGCGAAAGCAUUUGCCAAGGAUGUUUUCAUUAAUCAAGCACGAAAGUUAGGGGAUCGAAGACGAUCAGAUACCGUCGUAGUCUUAACCAUAAACUAUGCCGACUAGGGAUCGGACGAUGUUAAUUUUUUAAUGACUCGUUCGGCGCCUUACG
rnacentral:rRNA from 1 species